CACGUAGGGCGCAAGCGUUGUCCGGAAUUAUUGGGCGUAAAGAGCUCGUAGGCGGUCUGUUGCGUCCGCUGUGAAAACUCGGGGCUUAACCCCGAGCCUGCAGUGGAUACGGGCAGACUAGAGGUAGGUAGGGGAGAAUGGAAUUCCCGGUGUAGCGGUGAAAUGCGCAGAUAUCGGGGAGGAACACCGGUGGCGAAGGCGGCGACCUGGUCCUUGACUGACGCUGAGGCGCGAAAGCGUGGGGAGCAAACAGG
rnacentral:rRNA from 1 species